CGGCAUGCCUAACACAUGCAAGUCGUACGAGAAAGCCGGCUUCGGCUGGUGAGUAAAGUGGCGCACGGGUGAGUAACGCGUGGAUAAUCUGCCCUUAAGUGUGGAAUAACGUACCGAAAGGUGCGCUAAUACCGCAUAAUGCCUGGCAACACAAGUUGUCCGGCCAAAGAAGGCCUCUGUUUACAAGCUUUCGCUUCAGGAUGAGUCCGCGUACCAUUAGCUUGUUGGUGGGGUAAUGGCCUACCAAGGCUGCGAUGGUUAGCUGGUCUGAGAGGAUGAUCAGCCACACUGGAACUGAGACACGGUCCAGACUCCUACGGGAGGCAGCAGUGAGGAAUAUUGCGCAAUGGGGGCAACCCUGACGCAGCAACGCCGCGUGAGUGAGGAAGGUUUUCGGACUGUAAAGCUCUGUCGAGCGGGAAGAAGUGUACCAUGGCUAAUAUCCAUGAUAUUUGACGGUACCGCUAGAGGAAGCACCGGCUAACUCCGUG
rnacentral:rRNA from 1 species